rnacentral:rRNA from 1 species
GUUUGAUCCUGGCUCACGAUUGAACGCUGGCGGAAUGCUUUACACAUGCAAGUCGAGCGGCAGCGCGGGGGCAACCCUGGCGGCGAGCGGCGAACGGGUGAGUAAUAUAUCGGAACGUACCCCGUCGUGGGGGAUAACACAGCGAAAGCUGUGCUAAUACCGCAUACGACCUGAGGGUGAAAGCGGGGGAUCGCAAGACCUCGCGCGAUGGGAGCGGCCGAUAUCGGAUUAGCUUGUUGGUGAGGUAAAGGCUCACCAAGGCGACGAUCCGUAGCUGGUCUGAGAGGACGACCAGCCACACUGGAACUGAGACACGGUCCAGACUCCUACGGGAGGCAGCAGUGGGGAAUUUUGGACAAAUGGGGGGGCAACCCUGAUCCAGCCAUUCCGCGUGAGUGAAGAAGG